rnacentral:rRNA from 1 species
GACGAACGCUGGCGGCGUGCUUAACACAUGCAAGUCGAACGGAAAGGCCCUGCUUUUGUGGGGUGCUCGAGUGGCGAACGGGUGAGUAACACGUGAGUAACCUGCCCUUGACUUUGGGAUAACUUCAGGAAACUGGGGCUAAUACCGGAUAGGAGCUCCUGCUGCAUGGUGGGGGUUGGAAAGUUUCGGCGGUUGGGGAUGGACUCGCGGCUUAUCAGCUUGUUGGUGGGGUAGUGGCUUACCAAGGCUUUGACGGGUAGCCGGCCUGAGAGGGUGACCGGCCAGAUGGGGAGUGAGAUGCGCCCCGGACUCCUCCGGGAGGCAGCAGGGGGGAAUAUUGCACAAGGGGCGGAGGCCUGAUGCAGCAAGGCCGCGGGGGGGAUGAGGGCCUUGGGGUGGUAACCCGCUUUCGCCGGUGACGAGGGGUGAGGGAGGGUAGGGGGUAAGGAAGCACCGGCUAACUACGGG